UACGUAGGGGGCAAGCGUUGUCCGGAAUUACUGGGCGUAAAGGGCGUGUAGGCGGUUUGGCAAGUCUAAUGUGAAACCCCAGGGCUUAACCUUGGGCAUGCAUAAGAAACUGCUGGACUUGAGGGCAAGAGAGGAAAGUGGAAUUCCUAGUGUAGCGGUGAAAUGCGUAGAUAUUAGGAGGAACACCAGUGGCGAAGGCGACUUUCUGGAUUGACCCUGACACUGAGGCGCGAAAGCUAGGGGAGCAAACAGG
rnacentral:rRNA from 1 species